rnacentral:lncRNA from 1 species
GACCUUCAGUCAUGCCUGCCAGGGAUCGGUUAGCAUCCUAGCAUGCUUGAGGGAUUAUCUUGAUUAGAUUGAGGUACAAAGACACGCCCUAAUAUGGGUGACUCCAUUCUCUGAGCUUGAGUCCUUGGUGGCAUAAUAACAAGGGAUCUAAGGAGCAGAACGUGUCCCUCUGUCCCCUGAGUGUGAAGUGACCACCUGCCACUACGACUUAGACAACAUAAUGGACCGUGCCCCGAUACUGUGAGACAAAACCAACCCUCCCCUAAAUUGCUUUUGUCUGGUAUUUCAUUGCAAAAACAGGCAAAGAAACUAAGACAGGGUUUUAGAUUUACUAAAUCUGUCUGUUCUGGGAGGUGCAGGUACAAGCCCUUCUUCGCCCACCUCACCCCCUGUGAAAGCACAGAGAAAGCUGGUCGAUGAGUCUGCUGACCAGCAGGGGGCGCCUGCCCAAUUCUGAUGGUUUCCUGCCUAUAGCCCAUGGAUGCAAUUUGGAGGUGGCCACUGGGUGGCACCAUUAUGCCACAUAUGCCUACUGAGAAUCCUGUUGAUUGCUGCACAGGGGACAAGUCUGGAAUCCAAAGUCCUCAUCUGGACUUAGUCCGCUAUGGAGACUCUGCAUGCGAGUGUUAGUCAGAUAUCCUGAAGGAGCGGGUCUAGACCUGAGCUUCCAAGGCAGGGAUGAACCCAGGACGCUGGAGCUCGUCAGGUUGGGGACCCAAGAUUCUAAGAUGAGAAAAGACAACCUUUGCCCAUCUUGCUCCCUGAGUAUAUCUUCCUGUCUACAGCCUGGGAGGCUUUGUCCCUGGAUCAAUUUCAUUCACUGGUGUCUGUGGCUGAGGGUCCUUGGGCUCUUACCUCUGUGGAACCCGAGAGCCCCUGAGAGGGCUACUGAAUGAAUUCAGGGUAUCGAAGCCCCUGAGCCAGAACCUAAACAAAACAAACAGCCCACAGCAUUCGUGGGAGGUUGGUCUGGAGCCCACUUGGCACAGAGGACCAGGAACUUGGGGGUCUCAUAGGGAGGCUUACAGUUGGCUAACAGCCAUGCUGCUGCUGAUUCACCCUGCCAGGUCCCAGUCUGGCAGAAGUCAUUUUGCAGCAAGGAGAGUCUAAGACAGCAGUGGGAUCUCAAGGAUCUGAGCUGAGACUGAUGUCCUCGCUUUACAGAGUGCAGUGGGAACGAAAGGCUAAUCAGAAGCCAUGGUGCCUUAAAACCUUAAAGGACCAAAGUCCAGAGGCGCAGGCUGGCGUUCACCUCCUGCGGUGUGCAUCCUACGUAAGGCAGACGUGUCCAUCCACCUGUUGAAGGAGCAUCUUCAGGAGGUAGUGAGCUCAUCACCCUCAGAGACCUCCAAGCAAGGCCCCAUCCUAUGUCCACCGGGAACACUGUGAGAAGCACUGAUGGGGGCUGAGGUUGCUGGGCGCAGGGACACAGCAGGGGUCACUGAAACUUGCCCUGAUCUCUGAAGGGUGCUCACCCCUAUUGGCUACCUGAUGCUCAGAGAUGUCCCAAGGCAGCCUUCAGACACCCGAUGCCUGGGCCUCACUCGCAGGCACACGGGGUCCCUUGGAGGGAAAACCAGUGCAGUGUGAGUGAAAUCCGAGAACAAAGGUGCAUAUUUGCUUACAAGCGGAGGGAAUCACAGAAUUGACACAUUCCUCACAAUUGACAAAUAGCACGGAUAUUGGAGGGAGAAAACCCGGAAAAAAUAACAUGUGAUUUUUAUUAGCAGUCUGGCAGGUAAUAAAAAUGGGUCUUGUGCUGUCUUUGCUGCCUUUCUGUCUGUCUGAUCCUGAGCCGCCUUUUCCCCACAACGAGCCUGCGAUAUCAUUUUCUAUACAAAGACAAGCAAGAUCGCCUCCUUCCCUCGGGAGCCUGAUGUAAAUUUGGUUUUGAUUAUUGUUGGGGUUUUUUUUGGAGGGGUUAAGGAAAAGAAAAAUAAUUUGUUUUGUUUUGUUUUGUUUUUUUGCAUUUCGCUUCAGAACUCAUGACAAUGCC